rnacentral:lncRNA from 1 species
UCUUAUUUAAUCCCCAUGGCAAUCACUGAGCAAAUUAUCAUCUCUUAUUUUAUAGAUGAAAGAAACCAAGGCUUCAAAAGGAAGCUACACUGAAGCAGAAAGAACUAGUGGUACCCCUGGAAGCCACACCUGCUCUUCCUAUGCUCCAGGGCUCUGUGCCAUUCCUGCAGCUUGAGCCAGGAGGAAUGUUUGCAAGGAUACCAGCCAUUUUGCCAAUGUGCACAGUUUUUCUUUAGUCAUUACUGGAGGAGACUGACUUUCUUCUGUUUCAAAUAUCUAAAGAUCACUUUCAGAGCAAACUGGGAGUAAACUAACUGGAUGGGCUAAUCCUACCUUGGAUCCUCCUCUGCCAUUUCAUUGUUAGAAUCAAUUUCUGCAGGAGUAUUUCACAUAUUUUACUGUCAGUGUCUCUGCAAACCCAACACAUUAUGGAGGAGAGAGCAAGCCUCUGAAGCCAGACACACCUGAGAUUAAAUCCUGGUUCUGCCAUUUUAUUAGCCAUGUGACUUUAAAAGGUUACUUAAUCUCUCAGGGCCUUGAUUUCCUCAUCUGUAAAAUCGGAAGCCACAUUCUCUAAAAGGACCAGCAAG